rnacentral:sRNA from 1 species
ACAUACAAGAAAUCAGGAGUAAGAAUGCUUCAAACUUCCCAACAGCAAUACUGGAAUUGAGAAUACGUUGGAGCAAUACUUCACAUUUUUGAAGUAAAAUGAUCUCCAAACCAGAAUUCUAUACCCAGCCAAACUACUAAUGAGGAAGCUACUAGAGGAUGUGCUUCACCCAAACAAGGGAGUAAACCAAGAAAGAGGGAAACAUAGAACACUGGACUUAAGAAAUCCAACAAUGAGAAGCAAAGGGAAUCUCCUGGAUGAUGAUAAAGAGAGAGCCCAGGAUAAAAGCUGUAUGCCAGGGAAAGUCCUGAUUAGACCAUGUGACAAGUCUUCAGGAAAGACUGCUUCUGGAUGAUAAAAUGAACUGAAUACCUGUUAAGAGACUUGGGGGGUCAAAUUUGCAAUAAGUACCAAACAAAGAAGAAUUAAAAAAUGAUAAGUCCCAAGGGAAACUAUAUGUUGUAAAGAAAAAGUAGCUAUAGUUUGUUCAUGACAUAACUGUAACUUGCCUUGUACAUGAUAAUAUAAACACCGAAUCUUCCUCACUUUGUGAAAGAACAAUAUUGGGCAAAUGCGCAGGUUUUGGAAGUUUCCAUGUGUAGGGGGAUGGAGGGAGAAAUUAGCAAAAUCCUCCUUUUCUAUAGCUAAUACCUAUAAAGUGCUACAACACCCAGA